rnacentral:rRNA from 1 species
CAGCAGCCACGGUAAUACAGAGGGUGCGAGCGUUAAUCGGAUUUACUGGGCGUAAAGCGUGCGUAGGCGGCUUUUUAAGUCGGAUGUGAAAUCCCUGAGCUUAACUUAGGAAUUGCAUUCGAUACUGGGAAGCUAGAGUAUGGGAGAGGAUGGUAGAAUUCCAGGUGUAGCGGUGAAAUGCGUAGAGAUCUGAAGGAAUACCGAUGGCGAAGGCAGCCAUCUGGCCUAAUACUGACGCUGAGGUACGAAAGCAUGGGGAGCAAACAGGAUUAGAUACCCGUGUAGUCCCUGUCUCUUAUAC